UNGCAGUUUUGUAUGGAAUUGGGACGUG
rnacentral:piRNA from 1 species